CAGCAGCGCUGUUAAUACGUUAGGGGCCAAGCGUCGUCCGGAAUUAUUGGCGUAAAGAGCUCGUAGGCGGUUUGUCGCGUCUGCUGUGAAAACUCGAGGCUCAACCUCGGGCUUGCAGUGGGUACGGGCAGACUAGAGUGCGGUAGGGGAGACUGGAAUUCCUGGUGUAGCGGUGGAAUGCGCAGAUAUCAGGNNGGAACANNNNAUGGCGAAGGCAGGUCUCUNNNNNNNNNCUGACGCUGAGGAGCGAAAGCAUGGGGAGCGAACAGGAUUAGAUACCCUGGUAGUNCAUGCCGUAAACGUUGGGCACUAGGUGUGGGGCUCAUUCCACGAGUUCCGUGCCGCAGCAAACGCAUUAAGUGCCCCGCCUGGGGAGUACGGCCGCAAGGCUAAAACUCAAAGAAAUUGACGGGGGCCGCACAAGCGGCGGAGCAUGCGGAUUAAUUCGAUGCAACGCGAAGAACCUUACCAAGGCUUAACAUACACCGGAAACUUCCAGAGAUGGUUGCCCCGCAAGGUCGGUGUACAGGUGGUGCAUGGUUGUCGUCAGCUCGUGUCGUGAGAUGUUGGGUUAAGUCCCGCAACGAGCGCAACCCUCGUCCUAUGUUGCCAGCGGGUCAUGCCGGGGACUCAUAGGAGACUGCCGGGGUCAACUCGGAGGAAGGCGG
rnacentral:rRNA from 1 species